rnacentral:rRNA from 1 species
CUACGUGCCAGCAGCCGCGGUAAUACGGAGGAUGCGAGCGUUAUCCGGAUUUAUUGGGUUUAAAGGGUGCGUAGGCGGCCUGUUAAGUCAGCGGUGAAAUCUAGGAGCUUAGCUCCUAAAUUGCCAUUGAUACUGGCGGGCUUGAGUGUAGAUGAGGUAGGCGGAAUGCGUGGUGUAGCGGUGGAAUGCAUAGAUAUCACGCAGAACUCCGAUUGCGAAGGCAGCUUACUAAGGUACAACUGACGCUGAAGCACGAAAGCGUGGGUAUCAAACAGGAUUAGAUACCCUGGUAGUCCACGCAGUAAACGAUGAUAACUGGGCGUAUGCGAUAUACAGUAUGCUCCUAAGCGAAAGCGUUAAGUUAUCCACCUGGGGAGUACGCCGGCAACGGUGAAACUCAAAGGAAUUGACGGGGGCCCGCACAAGCGGAGGAACAUGUGGUUUAAUUCGAUGAUACGCGAGGAACCUUACCCGGGAUUGAA